AUGGGGAAGAAAGGUGGAGCGAGGAAGAGGAAGAAGGGGCACGACGACGAGGAGGAGCUCGUCAACCUCAUCUUCUCCUGGUCCCUCCAAGACGUCGCCAACCAGGACCUCUUCAGAGACAAGGUAUGCAAUUUGAUCGCUCGCAUAUGCUCGAUCACCAUUGUGAACACGAUACCUGACAGGUUCUUCGGCCUGAAGAGCUACCUGGACUCGUUCAGGGCCCCGUUGCUGGAGGAGAUCCGAGCGGAGAUGAGCUCCGCCUUGGACCCGCAACCCAAUGGCUUCAUCCCCGUGGAAAUACGGUCGCUGGUUAGCCUCGCUCCCAAGGGAGCCAAGGGCGUCAAGAAGAUCACCCCGUUUUACCGCGUCACCGUCUCCGGCCGCCGCGGUGCUUGUUCCCCAUGCAUCGGCGACAUAGUCGCGCUCUCGGCGGCGACACCGCUUCGGCCGCCGCAGCAUGCGAGCGACGGCAUUCCCUACUGCCUCGCCCACGUCAAAGACGUCACCAGCAAGUGCAGCUUUGUGGUUAGAGCGUCCAAGGUAAUAGAAGAUGUGACCUGCUACGCGUUCGUUGUCAGCUUGCUCAGCUUCAUACCCUACGCGCGCAUCUGGCGGUGCCUCAACUACGAAGCCGCCGUCGAGAGCAAUGCAGACCUCGUCAAGGUCAUCGCCGGCGUUAACACCAUGCAGGCAAGCAGUUCUGCGUAAGGCACUUCCCUGACCGGCGGCACCGGCGUUCUGCUGACGGCCGGCACGCUAUCUCCGUUCGGGCUCAACGAGUCGCAAGCCGACGCCAUUCUGAGCUGCGUUUCGGCGGUGCAGUGCGGCGGCGCGAGCAGCAGGUUCAGCCUCAUCUGGGGUCCGCCUGGCACGGGCAAAACAAAGACCAUCAGCGUGCUUCUGCUGACGGUGAUGACGAUGACGGCGAGAAGCCAGAGCAAAUGCCGGGUCCUGACAUGCGCGCCGACGAACACAGCAAUCUGCCAGGUCGCAUCCCGCCUCCUGGCGUUGAGGAAGCAGCACCCGAACGCCGGCGCCGGGGGGUGCCACGGCGAUCUGCUGCUGUUCGGCAACAGGAAGCGCAUGGCCAUCGACAAUGAUCUCAACGAGAUCUUCCUGGACACUCGUGUGAAGCGGCUAAGCAAGUGCUUCUCGCUGGCGACGGGCUGGAAGCCGGGUCUCCUGUCACUGGAAGUCUUUCUGACAGAUCCGAUAACCCUGAAAUACCAGUAUCAGCUAGCACGCGAGAAGAAUACUAGCACAAAUUUACCAGAGUCUUCCUUCGUCAGGUCAAGGUUCCACGAGAUCUCCCAGAAGCUUAGCGCGUGCUUCAGAACGAUCAUGUCACACGUCCCUAGAGACAUCAUCCUGGGGAAGAACUGCGAGAACAUCGCUUCGCUGACCAAGAUGCUGGGCGACUUCAGCAAGCUGCUCGGCGGGAAGAACGCCGGGAACCAAGUCGUGACGGACGUGUUCAUGCGCACGGCGACGGGAGAGCAACGCCAUGGUUCAGAGACAGCUCGCGCCCUUAGGCGGAGCAUGGCGGCGAUCCUGGGCGUCACGAGAGCUCUGGCGCGAGACCUGAAGCUUCCUCGCACGCGCCAUGGUCGCGCGAUCAAGAAGUUCUGCCUUGGAAGUGCCUCCCUUGUUUUCUGCACCGUGUCUGGCUCGGCGAAGCUGAACGAGCAGAAGAUGGACCUGCUUCUGAUCGACGAGGCUGCGCAGCUGAAGGAAUGCGAAUCCCUCGUCCCGUUGCAAGUCUCCGGGCUGAAGCACGCAGUCCUUAUCGGCGAUGAGUGCCAGUUGCCAGCAACAGUGAAAAGCAAGGUUUCAGAUAGUGCAUUGCUGGGUAGGAGCCUGUUUGAAAGACUAGGUUUACUUGGACACAAGAAGCACCUCUUAAACAUGCAAUACAGGAUGCACCCUUCCAUCAGCGUCUUCCCGAACCUCAGUUUCUACGACAGGCAGAUCUUGGACGGCCCCAACGUGACACAGACGACGCACGAGCUUAGCUACCUUCCAGGCGCGAUGUUCGGGCCAUACUCGUUCAUCAACGUCGACGGCCGGGAAGAUCGCGGCCGAAGCAAGAGGAACAUGGCCGAGGUGGCCGCCAUCCUGGAGAUACUGCGCAGUCUCAAGCAAGCUUGUGCCAGCGCGGGGCAGGUGGUCAGCGUGGGCGUCAUAUGCCCGUACGCCGCGCAGGUGGAUGCGAUUCAGGGGAGGAUAGGCGACGUGAAGAAGAUGCGGCCCCUGGUUCUUCGCGUCAACUCCGUGGAUGGGUUCCAAGGCAGCGAGGAGGACGUCAUCAUCCUCUCCACCGUCAGGUCCAACGCCACGGGCUCCAUCGGCUUCCUCUCCAACCGCCGACGCGCCAACGUCGCCCUGACGAGGGCAAGGCACUGCCUCUGGAUCCUGGGCAACGCGACGACGCUGAGCGGCAGCGGCUCCAUCUAGGGCGAGCUGGUCCAGGAUGCCGUGGAGCGUCGGUGCUUCUUCGACUGGGACGAUGGUGGCGCGGGCGCCUCUCGGGCCAUUUCUCACCGCGCUCGCCUGAUCGGGCCUGAACGCGGUGGAGCAGCUUCAGCUUUUGACACGCAGCCGGUGGGGUGUGAAGCAGACAUUAUCUCUGACGCGCUAGGUUCCUUGCGACUCGCUUAG
rnacentral:rRNA from 1 species